rnacentral:rRNA from 1 species
UAAUGUGAUCGUCUCUCGCAUAUCAAUAAGCGGAGGAAAAGAAACUAACAAGGAUUCCCUUAGUAACGGCGAGUGAAGCGGGAAGAGCUCAAAUUUGAAAUCUUCAAGGUUUUACCUUGACGAAUUGUAGUUUAAAGAAGUGUUUUCUGUUGAAGUUUUGGUAAAAGUUCUUUGGAAUAGGACAUCAUAGAGGGUGAGAAUCCCGUAUUUGACCAUUAUUUUCAGCUGUGUGAUACACUUUCAAAGAGUCGGAUUGUUUGGGAAUGCAGUCCAAAAUGGGUGGUAAAUUUCAUCUAAAGCUAAAUAUUGGCGAGAGACCGAUAGCGAACAAGUACCGUGAGGGAAAGAUGAAAAGAACUUUGAAAAGAGAGUUAAACAGUACGUGAAAUUGUCAAAAGGGAAGCGUUUGACACCAGUGUUGUUUUCUCGAAAAUCAAUUAAAAAGAGUUAGAUUUUGUUGUGUAUUGACCUUAACAGCUUGCAUUUCAAUUUUCUUGCUUUUUUUAAUGCACUUUUCGUUUAACAAGUCAACAUCAGUUUCUUUUGUUGUAAAAAGGUCAUUGGAAGGUGGCUUUCUUUUCGGAGAAAGUGUUUAUAGCCUUUGACUCCUGCAAUCGGAGAGACUGAGGUCUGCAGCGUAGAUCCUUCGGGGUUAGAUACAUUUGUGCUAAGUUAUAGCUUUUUAUAGACAACUUGUUGACUAUGAUUAGUCUUGUAGCUUACUCGCUUAUGCUAUUUUACCUACGCUUAGGAUGUUGAAGAUGUAGCACAUCAU